rnacentral:sRNA from 1 species
GAACGGUUCUUUCAGGCGGAAGCGAAGGAUCCGACAUGAGAUCGU